UCUUUAGUCGAUGCAAAUUGUGACCCGGAUCUCGCGAAUAUAUCGAGUCCAGCCAAUAAUGCCACUAUUCGAUUGAUUCUUAACGAAUUACUAUUAUCAAUUUGUGAGGGCCAUCCUCUCUAUAUAAGAAAUCGUUGA
rnacentral:rRNA from 1 species